AACGAACGCUAGCUAUAUGCUUAACACAUGCAAGUCGAACGGUAAGGCCCUUCGGGGUACACGAGUGGCGAACGGGUGAGUAACACGUGGGUGAUCUGCCCUGCACUUCGGGCUAAGCCUGGGAAACUGGGUCUAAUACCGGAUAGGACCACUGCCUGCAUGGGAGGUGGUGGAAAGCUUUUGCGGUGUGGGAUGGGCCCGCGGCCUAUCAGCUUGUUGGUGGGGUGAUGGCCUACCAAGGCGACGACGGGUAGCCGGCCUGAGAGGGUGACCGGCCACACUGGGACUGAGAUACGGCCCAGACUCCUACGGGAGGCAGCAGUGGGGAAUAUUGCACAAUGGGCGCAAGCCUGAUGCAGCGACGCCGCGUGAGGGAUGACGGCCUUCGGGUUGUAAACCUCUUUCAGCACCGACGAAGCGCAAGUGACGGUAGGUGCAGAAGAAGGACCGGCCAACUACGUGCCAGCAGCCGCGGUAA
rnacentral:rRNA from 1 species